GGCGGCAUGCCUUACACAUGCAAGUCGAACGCGAAAGUGGGGGCAACCCUGCGAGUAGAGUGGCGAACGGGUGAGUAACACAUCGGAACGUACCCAGGAGUGGGGGACAACCUCGAGAAAUCGAGGCUAAUACCGCAUACGUCCUGAGGGAGAAAGCGGGGGAUUCGCAAGGACCUCGCGCUCAUGGAGCGGCCGAUGUCGGAUUAGCUAGUUGGCGGGGUAAGAGCCCACCAAGGCUACGAUCCGUAGCUGGUUUGAGAGAACGACCAGCCACACUGGGACUGAGACACGGCCCAGACUCCUACGGGAGGCAGCAGUGGGGAAUUUUGGACAAUGGGCGCAAGCCUGAUCCAGCCAUGCCGCGUGAGUGAAGAAGGCCUUCGGGUUGUAAAGCUCUUUCGGCCGGAACGAAAUCGGGUGCGUGAAUAACGCAUCUGGAUGACGGUACUGGAAGAAGAAGCACCGGCUAACUACGUGCCAGCAGCCGCGGUAAUACGUAGGGUGCGAGCGUUAAUCGGAAUUACUGGGCGUAAAGCGUGCGCAGGCGGUUCUGCAAGUCAGAUGUGAAAUCCCCGGGCUUAACCUGGGAACUGCGUUUGAAACUAC
rnacentral:rRNA from 1 species